AUUGAACGCUGGCGGCAUGCUUUACACAUGCAAGUCGAACGGCAGCGCGGGCUUCGGCCUGGCGGCGAGUGGCGAACGGGUGAGUAAUGCAUCGGAACGUGCCCAGUGGUGGGGGAUAGCCCGGCGAAAGCCGGAUUAAUACCGCAUACGACCUGAGGGUGAAAGCGGGGGACCGAAAGGCCUCGCGCUCUUGGAGCGGCCGAUGUCGGAUUAGCUAGUUGGUGGGGUAAAGGCUUACCAAGGCGACGAUCCGUAGCUGGUCUGAGAGGACGACCAGCCACACUGGGACUGAGACACGGCCAAGACUCCUACGGGAGGCAGCAGUGGGGAAUGUUGGACAAUGGGGGCAACCCUGAUCCAGCCAUGCCGCGUGCGGGAAGAAGGCCUUCGGGUUGUAAAGCGCUUUUGUUCGGGAAGAAAUCCUCUGGGCUAAUACCCCGGGGGGAUGACGGUACCGGAAGAAUAAGCACCGGCUAACUACGUG
rnacentral:rRNA from 1 species